rnacentral:rRNA from 1 species
AUUGAACGCUGGCGGCAGGCCUAACACAUGCAAGUCGAACGAGUCGCAGACGGGUGAGUAAUGUCUGGGAAACUGCCUGCUGGAGGGGGUUAACUACUGGAACCGGUAGCUAAUACCGCAUACCAUCAGAUGUGCCCAGAUGGUAUUAGCUUGUUGGUGGGGUAACGGCUCACCAAGGCGCCGAUCCCUAGCUGGUCUGAGAGGAUGACCAGCCACACUGGAACUGUGACACGGUCCAGACGCCUACGUGAGGCAGCAGUGGGGAAUAUUGCACAAUGGGCGAAAGCCUGAUGCAGCCAUGCCGCGUGUAUGAAGAAGGCCUUAGGGUUUUAAAGUACUAUCAGCGGGGAGGCGUUACCCGCAGAAGAAGCACCGGCUAACUCCGUGCCAGCAGCCGCGGUAAUUC